CGGAAAUGGCAAGAAAAGGAGUGGGGCCGCCUGUAUGUUUCAGCCAGGACAUUCACUGGAUGGACCUUCUAGUUCAGUUCCUCUGGGUAGUGUGGUUUUCAUCUACUGCACUCAGGAUCAGAUCUCAGAAAGUGAUGAGAAACUUCCAUCACUUGUAAAGUGACCAGCACUGUUCUAUUUGUGUCAAUAAAACUGGGUUAUUUAUUUGGAGCACGAAGCUGAAAGCAGCCAAAAAUCCACCACAGGCCAUGUGCAUGUGCACACAUCUCUAUACACGUGAGUAAGAUCGCAGGUGUGUGUUUGAGGUGGUGUGUGUGUGUGUGGGUGUGUGCGCAAUGACCAACUGAUCUAGCUGAUAUUUAACCUAAUCUCUGUGAAUGGGGUAUUCAGAAAUGUGCACAUGUAAGCGCUACACCGAAUCCACUCUAUAGCACCACGCACUCAUA